AACGAACGCUGGCGGCAUGCCUAACACAUGCAAGUCGAACGAGACCUUCGGGUCUAGUGGCGCACGUGUGCGUAACGCGUGGUAACCUGCCCUUAGGUUCGGAAUAACUCCCCGUAAGGGGUGCUAAUACCGGUUAAUGUCUUCGGGCCAAAGAUUUAUCGCCUUUGGAUGGGCCCGCGUUGGAUUAGCUAGUUGGUAGGGUAAAAGCCUACCAAGGCGACGAUCCAUAGCUGGUCGGGGAGGAUGAUCAGCCACACUGGGACUAAGACACGGCCCAGACCCCGACGGGAGGGAGCAGUGGGGAAUAUUGGACGAUGGGCGAAAGCCUGAUACAGCAAUGCCGCGUGAGUGAUGAAGGCCUUAGGGUUGUAAAGCUCUUUUACACGGGAUGAUAAUGACAGUAACGGGAGAAUAAGCUCCGGCUAACUCCGUG
rnacentral:rRNA from 1 species